CUUGAACUCAGGAGGCGGAGGUUGCAGUGAGCCAAGAUUGCACCACUGCACUCCAGCCUGAGCAACAAGAGCAAGACUCCGUCUCAAAAAAUAAAAUAAAAUAAAAGUAAGGCCUGGCUAGCAUGCCAUUGCAGUAGUUCAGGUGAGAGAUGAGGGGACUCAGCCCAGCAAGGGCAGAGCAGAUGGAGCGGCUGUGGAGAAUGCAGGAAGGAGAGGAAUCCGGGACGCCCCUCAGUGCCUGCUGCUGCUGACAUGGAGAAGACUCGGAUCAAGAGUCAGGCGCAAGGUGGCUUUCAACAUCCAAGUGGAGAAGAUUUGAGGAAAUUGAAGUGCACUGCCUGGCACCCACUUUACUUCUGAAACAAUACAUGUGGUAACAGUAUUAAGUGCUCACUAUUUUGCAAACAUUGUUCAAGAACCCUAGGAAAGACAGUACAGAAUAAAUAGAAAGCAAAGUCUUUUUGUCCAAGAACUUAAAGCCCGUCAGUGUUGGGAACAUGCGAUUUGUGUGUGCAAUGGUGCAGGAGUCUGGUCGUGUCCAUCUCUGGGGUGCAGAGCUGCCUCUGAAGACUUGGCAAGACCUACCCAACAGUCGUUCACUGAGCAGAGACUGAGGAGCCUCCUGGGAUUGGGCUCAUCCUCAGGAAAAGCGGAGCCAGUCCCAAGCUUGAACCAGUGACAAGUCCUUGGAUGUCGGAG
rnacentral:lncRNA from 1 species